rnacentral:rRNA from 1 species
CCUACGGGUGGCAGCAGUGAGGAAUAUUGGUCAAUGUACGAGAGUCUGAACCAGCCAAGUAGCGUGAAGGAUGACUGCCCUAUGGGUUGUACACUUCUUUUAUAUGGGAAUAAAACGUUCCACGUGUGGGAUUUUGUAUGUACCAUAUGAAUAAGGAUCGGCAAACUCCGUGCCAUCAGCCGCGGUAAUACGGAGGAGCCGAGAGUUAUCCGGAUUUAUUGGGUUUAAAGUGGGCGUAUGUGGAUUGUUAAGACAGUUGUGAAAGUUUGCGGCUCAACCGUAAAAUUGCAGUUGAAACUGGCAGUCUUGAGUACAGUAGAGGUGGGCGGAAUUCGUGGUGUAGCGGUGAAAUGCUUAGAUAUCACGAAGAACUCCGAUUGCGAAGGCAGUUCACUGGACUGCAACUGACACUGAGGCUCGAAAGUGUGGGUAUCAAACAGGAUUAGAUACCCGGGUAGUC